rnacentral:rRNA from 1 species
CACGUAGGGGGCGAGCGUUUGUCCGGAUUUAUUGGGCGUAAAGAGCUCGUAGGCGGUUUCGUAAGUCGGAUGUGAAAACUCCAGGCUCAACUUGGAGACGCCAUUCGAUACUGCGAUGACUUGAGUCCGGUAGGGGAGUGUGGAAUUCCUGGUGUAGCGGUGAAAUGCGCAGAUAUCAGGAGGAACACCGGUGGCGAAGGCGGCUAUCUGGAACAUUUCUGACGCUGAGGCUCGAAAGCGUGGGGAGCAAACAGG